rnacentral:rRNA from 1 species
AACGAACGCUGGCGGCGGGCCUCAUACAUGCAAGUCGAGCGCGAAAGUCCGCAAGGAUGAGUAAAGCGGCGCACGGGUGAGUAACACGUGGAUAAUCUACCCCUUGGAUUGGAAUAACCUGUCGAAAGACGGGCUAAUGCCGAGUGAGCUUAUAGUUUCGUGGAGUUACUAUAAGGAAAGAUGGCGCAAGCUAUCGCCGAGGGAUGAGUCUGCGCCCCAUUAGUUAGUUGGUGGGGUAAUGGCUUACCAAGACAAUGAUGGGUACCUGGUUUGAGAGAAUGACCAGGCACACUGGAACUGAAACACGGUCCAGACUCCUACGGGAGGCAGCAGUAGGGAAUAUUGCGCAAUGGACGAAAGUCUGACGCAGCCACGCCGCGUGAGUGAGGAAGGCCUCGGGUUGUAAAGGACUCUGUCAACAGGGAAAAACGGACGUAUCCGGGGAAAGUUACGGGUAGGACGUGAUGGUACCUGUGGAGGAA